GUUCCAGACUCCUACGGGAGGCAGCAGUGGGGGAUAUUGGACAAUGGGGGGAACCCUGAUCCAGCGACGCCGCGUGAGUGAAGAAGUAUCUCGGUAUGUAAAGCUCUAUCAGCAGGGAAGAAGAAAUGACGGUACCUGAGUAAGAAGCCCCGGCUAACUACGUGCCAGCAGCCGCGGUAAUACGUAGGGGGCAAGCGUUAUCCGGAAUUACUGGGUGUAAAGGGAGCGUAGACGGUGAUGUAAGUCUGGAGUGAAAGGCGGGGGCCCAACCCCCGGACUGCAUUGGAAACUGUUGAACUGGAGUACAGGAGAGGUAAGCGGAAUUCCUAGUGUAGCGGUGAAAUGCGUAGAUAUUAGGAGGAACACCAGUGGCGAAGGCGGCUUACUGGACUGUAACUGACGUUGAGGCUCGAAAGCGUGGGGAGCAAACAGGAUUAGAUACCCCCGUACG
rnacentral:rRNA from 1 species